AUUUUUUACAAUGUCAAAGAAAUAGAAAUGUAGUGUAUCUUAUGGUAGCAUGCAAAUUACAAAAUAGCACAAAAAAUGUAUUGCAGCUAAUAUUAUUUACAUCCAAUAUAAAGUCUUCCAAAGAUACUAUAAUAGAAUGUUAACAGAAAGAUGAAGAAAACUUUUUAAAUAUUUUUAAGAUUUUUUUAAAACCCAGCAAUGUAAAAUUAAUCAAACACAAAAGACAUUAGGUAUACAAGUGUUAAUUUUUAUUCAUUUUAAUAUUCAUA